UACGAAGGGUGCUAGCGUUGUUCGGAAUUACUGGGCGUAAAGGGUGCGUAGGCGGACUGUUUAGUCAGAGGUGAAAGCCCAGGGCUCAACCUUGGAAUUGCCUUUGAUACUGGCAGUCUUGAGUACGGAAGAGGUAUGUGGAACUCCGAGUGUAGAGGUGAAAUUCGUAGAUAUUCGGAAGAACACCAGUGGCGAAGGCGACAUACUGGGCCGUUACUGACGCUGAGGCUCGAAAGCGUGGGGAGCAAACAGG
rnacentral:rRNA from 1 species